AGACACGCUUCGGAGCAAACAUACGGAGAUGCUUUUGCUCUCAUCAUGCUCUGAGGAAAGUCCCCGGGCAUUCGGGCAGAGAGUGCCAACCGUUAAGGUGCUUC
rnacentral:RNase_MRP_RNA from 14 species